UGGGGAAUAUUGGACAAUGGGCGAAAGCCUGAUCCAGCAAUGCCGCGUGUGUGAAGAAGGUCUUCGGAUUGUAAAGCACUUUCGACGGGGACGAUGAUGACGGUACCCGUAGAAGAAGCCCCCGGNUAACUUCGUGCCAG
rnacentral:rRNA from 1 species